AGUAUAGCAAUAUGAGUAACGUCACUGAUAUCAAUAAGUGGUUCGAUAAGAUAAGGUAAUUUUAGGGAAGGAAAACUAUCUAAAAAACUGAAAAUCUAGAAAACUGUUAACAGCUUUAGCUGAAAGUGUACACGAAGACCGUGGAGAGUCGAUUGAUUGCCGUUCGUAGCAACUCGUAUUGAAGUUUGGAACGAUUUGGCGCAUUUUACGUCGACAUCUUAAAGUGAAAGCAUAUAAAGAACAGCUUGUACAAGAACCGAUCGACCUUCCCAAGCGACAUCUUCUAUGGGCUCUAGAAAAGUUUCAAGAGAUCGGGCGUUUUCGAGCGUAAUUUUGUUCAGCUAUUUCUGGCUCAAUGGGUAUGUAAAGAAGAAAAAUAGCCACAUUUGGGACGAAGAGCAACGUGAAGAGAUUCAAGAGCUGUCAUUUCAUACAGAAAAACCAUCGGUUUGCUGUCGUAUGUGAAUUCCGAUAAUAAACAAUAAGAAAGUGCGAAUGUCUAAACAUUUAUUCCCAACUGAUAAGAAAGAACGUGCUUUGUUAUCGCUGCAGGAAUACCAUAGAGCUGAGCGCAAAAUGCGUAUUCAAGUACUUAUCAAUUGAUAAGACAUCAAAUAUCGCAAUUAAUUUGCGCACGACAUUCCAGCAAGAUUCCCACUUUGGAUUAGCAACAUUAAGUCAAUUGGUGCGCGCCCUGUUGUAUAAAACAGUUCUGUAUUAUUAUCGAGCAUCGCAGUCAUUCAUCACAGUUUGAUUAAACAAUACAAAAAUAAAAUAGUAACUCAAAAAAAUUUUUAAGUACAAAAUGGUCUGCCAGCAAUGCAUUAACGCCUCGAAAUGCAAUAUUUGCAAAAACUGCGUCAAGUGUUGCCAGAUUUGCGCGCAGAGUGGCAACCGUUGCUGUACUGUUAGCACCAGAAAGACAUGUUGCGUUAGCAAAAAAGUUCCGUCAGCAAAUUUUAAGUUAUUUCAGUGUUAAGAGUUAGUUUCAGUUAAAACUAAACGUAUUGAAUAUUGUAUUUAUUUAUUAAAAAUCUGUGUUUACCUUGCCAUGCUAUGAUAAAACUCUGUAUAAUAGCUUGUUAUUGUAUAAACUUAUGAGAAUGGAAACAGAACACAUUCUAAGAAUUUUCAUGAAAACCGUUAUAUACACACAUCUGCAACAGAUGAUGAAUUGUAUACAAAUUUUACAACGUUUUAACAUGAAUUAAACGCAGAUUGAGAGAAAGAAAUUAAAAAGUUGCAAAUUUGAAUUAAACAUGGCUGUUUGUGAUAAAAUGUAUUUAUUUACCAAUUAGUAAUUUUGAUGCCCACAUCAAAUCAUUUAUUAUUUAUGUUGGAAAAUCAAAAUUGAGAAUAAGAUAUAAAGUUACCUCACAUUGUGAAUAAGUAUGUAAUAAGUAAAAGUAUCGAAAAGUUGCUUUGGUUUAGUUUGCUAUGAAUUUACUGUCGUGGCAAAAUUUUACGGGUGAUCAAUGCAGAGAUACGUUUUUCAAAGCCUUGUUUUGACAAAUCACACCUGAGUCGUGUCAAGCUGUCAUUUUUGUUCAGUAUUAUUUGGAAUCUCAACAUGGAAAGACUUCCGACAGAAUAACGUUUUCAAAGUGUUCAACUUUAUUAUAAAAAUUGAAGUUCUUACAGAAUGUGUUUCGCACGCUUCGUCCAACUUAUGGUCAACAUAAUUGGCCUACUGAGCGUACUAUACGCAACACAUAAUCAACCAGCAUUCAUUAUUGCAUAACAUUCGACAGAAUAGACCACGUUUAGCACGCAGUGCUGUAAAUAAAGCAGCCGUAGCUGAUAGUAUCCGACGUUUUCGAGCCAAUUGAGGCCCAUUUCUGGCUCAAUGGGUAUGUGAACAAGAAAAUUGCCGCAUUUGGGAUGAAGUGCAACCUGAAGAGAUUCAAGAGCUGCCAU